rnacentral:misc_RNA from 1 species
CUCGCGCUUUGUGGCAGUCACAGAAGCUUUUCUAGGGUUUACGAAGUUCUGAUUCACAGUUCAAGAUGGUUCUUCAAAACGAUAUUGAUUUGCUCAAUCCUCCGGCCGAUCUCGAGAAGAGGAAGCACAAGCUCAAGCGCCUCGUGCAGUCUCCUAACUCAUUUUUUAUGGAUGUGAAAUGCCAGGGCUGCUUCAACAUGUAAGCUCUUUUAGAUUCUUCUGUACAUGCAUGCUAUAAUCUUAUCAUUAUGUAUAAGAAAGAACGUUUUGAAACCUACCCUUUUUGUGCAUAGUUCAAGAGUAUAGUUUCCAGGGAGCUAAAACUGUCUUUUGAGCGCGUAACAGUUCUGUUCUUGAUUUGUUUAGCAAUAUGUUAUUUUUAUUGUAGCUUAGAAGUAUUUAGGAGCUGAGAUCAAUUAGCAGAUGUGAAAAUGGUGAUAAAAGUUUAGGAAUUGGGAAGAAUAGAGAGAAAGAGCAAGAGGGAGAGAACAGAGUAAGGAGUUUGGGAAGUAAUUCAUUACUGGCUAUUUAUACUAAUUAUUCUUGUAGAGAAGAACUACAGAAAUACAACUAUUCUAAUGAAUUCAAAACGAUAACAACUAUCUUAAUCAACUCUAAAAAAGACUGAUUUCAAUCUCAAUUUGAAACAAAGUAGUGCAUCUAUAAUUACUACUACUAUUAUUAUUGUUAUCACCACCAUCCUUGUAUUAAAAUUUUAUAUAUGUGGCAGAACUACUGUGUUUAGUCACUCGCAAACAGUGGUGGUGUGUGGGAAUUGCCAGACAGUAUUGUGCCAACCAACUGGUGGGCGUGCAAGGCUUACAGAGGGUUGCUCUUUCAGGAGGAAGGGUGAUUGAAGAUGAAAGAUGAUAUGUUGCUUUUUCUUGGUAAAUGCAAGUAGAAUUCUUUUUAAAGGAUGAUGGUUUCGACAAAGGAAUGGGAGCACUUUUGGCCUUCAAUUGUUUUUUUUGGUGCUAUUUUGUUAGCAAAUAUCUCUACUUUAUUGUUGCUAUCUGAUUUUGUGUUGCAUUGCUGCACUCAAAAUCUGGUGUUGUGUGAAAAUCUCAGAUAAUAUUAUAUCUCUCAAAAUGUUAUUAUCUUUGGCUAAUUUUAUCUGAUUAUCAUUUUUUCUGUUCUGUUGUCUCCACUUUAACUUAAGCUUUAUGGCUUUGUAUGCCCCAUUCAGUGUUUGGAAUUUAGUUGAGGUGUAGCGGGACUGGAAAUUGAAAUUAAUUAUCCAGGAUUUUAAAGUUAGAAAAAAGUGUGGAAUGCACUGUGCACAUUCAUUGUGAAUCAGAUGCAUAGGUUUGUUCUCUUUUUUCCAAUUGGAAUCUUGAGCUGGGACUUUUCUGCACUAAA